rnacentral:lncRNA from 1 species
CUUCAAGCAAUCGGACAAAAUGAAAAAAUAGGUUCAAUCGGUUCAGCAGAAAAUGAAAUUAAACCCUCCCCGAAGCAGAGCAGAGACGCAGCACGACCAUCACCACCACCAGUCGAGACGGAGCAGAUACGCAACGGCAGUAGCAGCUUCAGUCGAUCCUCAACAAAGAUGUAGCAGCAGCCGAUCCAUUAUGGCCGAAGCUGAGCAGACGCCGCACCACCGCCGCCACCAAAUUGAGACGGUGAUGCAGCAGCAGCAGUCGAUCCAUCAUGGCCGCAGUAGAACGGAGACGAAGCAGCACCACUACUACUAGUCGAGGCGCAACAACAGCAGAAGCCGAUUUUGGUUGGAGAUCUGUCGCGGAGAGAGAGAGAGAGCUAUGACGGUGAAUUGUGGUGGAAGAAGAGUAACAGCAUGGAGAGAGAGAACUGUGAAUUUUGAUCUGGUUUUGUUUUGUAAUGUAUUUUAGAAUUUAGUUUUGUGAUUCAUUGAGAACAUGUUGAAGACGUUCUCUGUUUUAUAACUGUAAAUGCAAA